GGCCCGAGCUGGGCGCGGUGCGGGCCGCGGGAACUUCCUGGAUUGACUCUGGAGCGCAGCCUGGGUAGCAGUUUCCAGCUAGACUCGUGCUUGGCCUGGGUUCGCGGUCCCUCCGCUUGUUCCCUGCGACGUUCAGUCCUGAGAUACCCGUUUUCUCGCCGGACGACGGGCCGACAGAGCAGACGCAGUGCCUACGGCCCAGAAAAAUGUUCUAAUUGUUUUUUUUAAUCCGAACAAUAACUGCGGUAACGAUGAGUCCAGCCUGGAUUAUAUCAGUGUAUGUGUGACUGUAUAAAGGACGAGUGCAGUGUAAUAUGUAGUUUUUAAUACUUCUUUAGGAAGGAAGAGCCCACGAAGGCCCAGGUGCCUGGGGCCCACCAAUGUCAUAACGCAGCGCUGGGAAGGGGGCCUGGCCGUGCGGUGGCUGCUGAGCAAACCUGAGCUGACGCUUCCCAAGCUGUCUGCGGUUCCCAGCACGCAGGAGGAGGUCCGAAAGCAAGAGCCCGAAGACCGAGACGGAGAGUUCUGAACAGAGAUGUUAACACCGUCUCAUCUGGAUGCUUUAAGAGCAUUAGACAGGAGCGCUAGAUACUGAUAACAGCGAGGAUUAACGGAGGGCUCACCUGGAAGGCACUCUUUCAUCCCUGUAGCCAUGCUUACCCAGCGCCCCUAAGUGCCUGGCUCCACGCCCCUCCUGGAGCUCACUGAUAAGUACAAAAUGUCCUUGGAUGAGGAUAAAGAAAAAAAACAGCCAUUGAGACUGGCACCUGGCAAGCCAGGGAGAAGAAGCCCAGACGGAGCGGGCGAGGCAGGCAGGGCCAGAUCCUGGUGGGGAGUAAAGGCCAGAAGAAGGAUCUAGAACUCUGAAGAUGGAGCUUGCACACAGUAGGUGCUCAAGAGAGAGAGAAACAUCGAUGUGAGAG